AUGAGGUUUGAUUAUAUCCCGCGUGCAUUCCUCUUACCAUCUCAUUGGGUUUCUUCUUUAUGUCUUUGGAUGUAGAAUAUACUUUUGAAAUGUCCCUCUGCCAGACACCAAGGCUGGAUUUGCAGACUGUAAAGGUGUCCAGAUCAAUGGAAAUCUUUGGGGCCUGCUGGAAUAAGAAAGAUAACAAAUGCCUCUGCAUAAAGGCUUUCUCAGUUACACAAAGAAACACUGUGAAAUGUCUAAUCCAGAAAGAGAUCCUCCACCCCAGUCUCCAUUUGGGGAAGGUUUAGUUAUG